rnacentral:rRNA from 1 species
UACGAAGGGGGCGAGCGUUGUUCGGAUUUACUGGGCGUAAAGGGCGCGCAGGCGGCGAUCUUUGUCAGGCGUGAAAGCCCCGGGCUUAACCUGGGAACUGCGCUUGGGACGGGAUUGCUGGAGACCGGGAGAGGAGAGUGGAAUUCCCAGUGUAGAGGUGAAAUUCGUAGAUAUUGGCUGGAACACCGGUGGCGAAAGCGGCUCUCUGGCCCGGUUCUGACGCUGAGGCGCGAAAGCGUGGGGAGCAAACAGG